rnacentral:rRNA from 1 species
AAAGUCCGUAACAAGGUUUCCGUAGGUGAACCUGCGGAAGGAUCAUUACCGAGUGAGGGCCCUCUGGGUCCAACCUCCCACCCGUGUUUAUCGUACCUUGUUGCUUCGGCGGGCCCGCCUCACGGCCGCCGGGGGGCAUCCGCCCCCGGGCCCGCGCCCGCCGAAGACACCAAUGAACUCUUGUCUGAAGAUUGCAGUCUGAGCAGAUUAGCUAAAUCAGUUAAAACUUUCAACAACGGAUCUCUUGGUUCCGGCAUCGAUGAAGAACGCAGCGAAAUGCGAUAAGUAAUGUGAAUUGCAGAAUUCAGUGAAUCAUCGAGUCUUUGAACGCACAUUGCGCCCCCUGGUAUUCCGGGGGGCAUGCCUGUCCGAGCGUCAUUGCUGCCCUCAAGCACGGCUUGNGUGUUGGGCUUCGCCCCCCGGCUCCCGGGGGGCGGGCCCGAAAGGCAGCGGCGGCACCGCGUCCGGUCCUCNAGCGUAUGGGGCUUUGUCACCCGCUCUGUAGGCCCGGCCGGCGCCCGCCGGCGACCCCAAAUCAAUCUAUCCAGGUUGACCUCGGAUCAGGUAGGGAUACCCGCUGAACUUAAGCAUAUCAAUAA